GACGAACGCUGGCGGCGUGCCUAAUACAUGCAAGUUGAGCGAUGAAGCUUGGUGCUUGCACCAAUUUGAAGAGCAGCGAACGGGUGAGUAACGCGCGGGGAAUCUGCCUUUGAGCGGGGGACAACAUUUGGAAACGAAUGCUAAUACCGCAUAACAACUUUAAACAUAAGUUUUAAGUUUGAAAGAUGCAAUUGCAUCACUCAAAGAUGAUCCCGCGUUGUAUUAGCUAGUUGGUGAGGUAAAGGCUCACCAAGGCGAUGAUACAUAGCCGACCUGAGAGGGUGAUCGGCCACAUUGGGACUGAGACACGGCCCAAACUCCUACGGGAGGCAGCAGUAGGGAAUCUUCGGCAAUGGACGAAAGUCUGACCGAGCAACGCCGCGUGAGUGAAGAAGGGUUUCGGAUCGUAAAACUCUGUUGGUAGAGAAGAACGUUGGUGAGAGUGGAAAGCUCAUCAAGUGACGGUAACUACCCAGAAAGGGACGGCUAACUACGUG
rnacentral:rRNA from 1 species